UCUGAUGCUCUGUGGCGAGAAAAGCUGUGUGAAUUGAUUAGGCGCCCGUACCGCAAACCGACACAGGUAGAUGAGGAGAGAAUCCUAAGGCCAACGGGAGAAGGGUUGUUAAGGAACUCGGCAAAUUGACCCCGUAACUUCGGGAUAAGGGGAGCCUCCUACGGGAGGCCGCAGUGAAUAGGCCCAAGCAACUGUUUACCAAAAACACAGGUCUCUGCUAAAUCGAAAGUUGACGUAUAGGGGCUGACGCCUGCCCGGUGCCGGAAGGUUAAGAGGAGAGCUUAGCGCAAGCGAAGGUUCGAAUUGAAGCCCCGGUAAACGGCGGCCGUAACGAUAACGGUCCUAAGGUAGCGAAAUUCCUUGUCAGGUAAGUUCUGACCCGCACGAAUGGCGUAAUGAUUUGGGCACUGUCUCAACAGCCCGCCCGGCGAAAUUGUAGUACUGGUGAAGAUGCCAGUUACCCGCAACUAGACGGAAAGACCCCAUGGAGCUUUACUGUAGCCUAAUACUGAAGAUCGGUAAUGCAUGUACAGGAUAGGUGGGAGCCAGCGAAACCCGGGCGUCAGCUCGGAUGGAGGCAACCUUGGAAUACCACCCUUGUAUUGCUGGUUUUCUAACCUGCAGCCAUGAAUCUGGUCGGGGGACACUGUUAGGUGGGCAGUUUGACUGGGGCGGUCGCCUCCAAAAGCGUAACGGAGGCGCUCAAAGGUUGGCUCAGCACGGACGGAAAUCGUGCAUAGAGUGCAAACGCAUAAGCCAACUUGACUGCGAGACCGACGGGUCGAGCAGGUACGAAAGUAGGAGUUAGUGAUCCGGUGGUAUGUGAGUGGAAAUGCCAUCGCUCAACGGAUAAAAGCUACCCUGGGGAUAACAGGCUGAUCUCCCCCAAGCGUCCACAGCGACGGGGAGGUUUGGCACCUCGAUGUCGGCUCGUCACAUCCUGGGGCUGUAUUCGGUCCCAAGGGUUCGGCUGUUCGCCGAUUAAAGUGGCACGCGAGCUGGGUUCAGAACGUCGUGAGACAGUUCGGUCCCUAUCUGUUGCGGGCGCAGGAGAUUUGAAGGGAGCUGUCCUUAGUACGAGAGGACCGGGAUGGACAGACCUCUGGUGCACCAGUUGUCGUGCCAACGGCACAGCUGGGUAGCUACGUCUGGACGAGAUAAACGCUGAAAGCAUCUAAGUGUGAAACUCCCCCUAAGAUAAGAUCUCCCAUCCAUUAGGAGUAAGGGACGACAAAGACUAUGUCGUUGAUAGGUCGGAAGUGUAAGUGCAGUAAUGCAUUGAGCUGACCGGUACUAAUAACCCGAGGGCUUGAUC
rnacentral:rRNA from 1 species